rnacentral:rRNA from 1 species
CAGUCGCCACGGGAAUACAGAGGGUGCGAGCGUUAAUCGGAUUUACUGGGCGUAAAGCGUGCGUAGGCGGCUUUUUAAGUCGGAUGUGAAAUCCCUGAGCUUAACUUAGGAAUUGCAUUCGAUACUGGGAAGCUAGAGUAUGGGAGAGGAUGGUAGAAUUCCAGGUGUAGCGGUGAAAUGCGUAGAGAUCUGGAGGAAUACCGAUGGCGAAGGCAGCCAUCUGGCCUAAUACUGACGCUGAGGUACGAAAGCAUGGGGAGCAAACAGGAUUAGAUACCCCAGUAGUCCUGUCUCUUAUACA